ACGGAAUUGGAGCAAUCCAAUUCAGUGGCGGAAGGGUUAGUAAUACAUGGGUAACCUACCUUUAACUUUGGAAUAACGAUUGGAAACGAUCGCUAAUACCAAAUGUGGUGAGUGAGGAUAACUUCAAUUCAUUAAAGUGGGGGAUCGUAAGACCUCGCGGUUAAAGAAGGGCCCAUGAGAUAUCAGCUAGUUGGUGAGGUAAAGGCUCACCAAGGCU
rnacentral:rRNA from 1 species